AGCUAUCGAAGGAAAUUAUUUUAAUUCAUAGCU
rnacentral:ncRNA from 1 species